rnacentral:rRNA from 1 species
GAAGAGAGAGUUCAAUAGUACGUGAAACCGUUCAGGGGUAAACCUGAGAAACCCAAAAGAUCGAAUGGAGAGAUUCAUCGUUGGCCGCUUUGGCUUCCGUGUGGUUCGCGAUGACCGGAGCUUCGGCUCCGCGUCACGCAAUCGCUGCGGUAUGUCCGAGGCGGCCGGCGUGCACUUCUCUCCUAGUAGGACGUCGCGAUUCGUUGGGUGUCGGUUUACGGACCGGUAGGUCGACUGGCGAGUUGCGUUCACGCGUAUACUUGCCAGACCUCUGGAUUCCCAACCGGCUGCCCGGCGAUAUAAAACGAUAAUUCAAUGGCAUUGAGCCGCGUCGAACGCGUUCAGGCUCGUCGGCAGAUUCGUCUCGCUCGGAUUUACGGACCUAGCGCCGUUGCCGGGUGCUUGGCGGGUUGUUGGCCGGCGAUGUCCUCGGACUGGCUCUAAAUAUUCUUAUGGAAUAUGCCGAUCGGCGACGCUACUGCUUUGGGUACUUUCAGGACCCGUCUUG